rnacentral:rRNA from 1 species
UACAGAGGUGGCAAGCGUUGUUCGGAAUUACUGGGCGUAAAGGGCGCGUAGGUGGCCUUGUCAGUCAGACGUGAAAUCCCCAGGCUUAACCUGGGAACUGCGUCUGAUACUACAAGGCUUGAGUGCGGGAGAGGGAUGUGGAAUUCCAGGUGUAGCGGUGAAAUGCGUAGAUAUCUGGAGGAACACCGGUGGCGAAGGCGGCAUCCUGGACCGACACUGACGCUGAGGCGCGAAAGCUAGGGGAGCAAACGGG